UAGGUCAUUGUAGUUUAAGUUAAAAAUAAAUAAUUUGUAAUUAUUAGUUUAGGAUGACU
rnacentral:tRNA from 1 species